rnacentral:rRNA from 1 species
CUCGUAGGCGGUUCGUCGCGUCCGGUGUGAAAGUCCAUCGCUUAACGGUGGAUCUGCGCCGGGUACGGGCGGGCUGGAGUGCGGUAGGGGAGACUGGAAUUCCCGGUGUAACGGUGGAAUGUGUAGAUAUCGGGAAGAACACCAAUGGCGAAGGCAGGUCUCUGGGCCGUUACUGACGCUGAGGAGCGAAAGCCAGGGUAGCGAACG